CAUUUUUCUAUCACGUCUCACAGAUUCUGUCCUCCUUGAAGAAAUUCCGUUACCGUGAAACGUCGCCCUUGUUUCAUCCUCACAAAUCCCAGCACCAUAUAAAAUUCCAAAAUUCAUCCCUAAAAUACGCACACACGGACACACCCUUCUACACUUCACACACACGGAGAAGAAAUUGCAGCGAUGGCAAUGGCGGCUGCAGCAACAAGUGCUUCAUUUGCCCUCGCAAAACUCCUUUCCUCCCCUAAAAUAAAGCAACCCAUCUCUCUUCUCGCUCCACACAAAAAAACCAAUUCCAUAUUCUCCUCUUCCGCCUCUUUUACCCCAUUUCCCCUUAAAUUCCACCACUCAAAACCCUUGAAUUUCUCCACCACCGGAGCACCAAAAAUCUCCGCCACCAUCUCCUCCGGGGACAAGCUUCCGGACGCUACCCUCUCCUAUUUCGACUCUUCUGACGAGCUUAAAACAGUAUCUGUGUCUGAGCUGACUACCAAUAAAAAAGCUAUUCUCUUUGCGGUUCCGGGGGCGUUUACUCCCACUUGUUCCCAGAAACAUCUCCCGGGAUUCGUGGAAAAGGCCGGAGAGUUAAAGGCCAAGGGGAUGGAUACAAUUGCGUGCAUUUCUGUUAAUGAUGCGUUUGUGAUGAAAGCCUGGAAGAAGGACCUGAAUAUUGGUGAUGAGGUGUUGUUGUUGAGUGAUGGGAAUGGCGAUUUUACCAAGGCUAUUGGUUGCGAGCUGGAUUUGAGCGAUAAGCCUAUAGGACUGGGAGUCAGAUCCAGGAGGUAUGCUAUGUAUGUGGAAGAUGGGGUUGUGAAAAUCUUGAAUUUGGAGGAGGGUGGCGCCUUUAAUGUUAGCAGUGCUGAAGAUAUGCUUAAAGCCCUUUGAGGGGUAACUUUUUUUCUUUCUAUGUUUAUUUGAACUUUUCAAGUUGAGUUUUGUAGAUUAUGACGAGGAUGAGAAUGGUAUCUAUAUCUAUGAAUAAAUGUGGUAGGUUUUAUAGACAUUCAGAUGAAAUCCAUGGGCUAUGUUGCCUCUGCGCUGGAAAUUUAUGGUUUAAGUGAAAGCUAUUUGGUUUGUUGAUUACAUAUUAACUCAUUCACUAGAAAAAGUUAUGUUUAUUUCACCGUGUAGUUGAAGUGUCCUUGCAGAAAUAGCUAUAUAAAUGCAGACAACAAUUAGUUU